CCCCCCCCCAUAUCCCCUUCUUUCCUUCCUAUCGCUUCCUCCUCACACCUCACCUGCUUCCUUCCUGGUCUCCCCACUUCCUCUCUCUUUUCCUGGGACCUGCUGCCUGGCCCCGGAUCCUCCCUGGCCCUUGACCAAGCUCUCCCUUCACAAUCCCCCUUGCCCUGCAGCUGCCUGUCUCCUUGACAUCAGGAUUCUGUGGACUCUGCACCCUUCCUGUGUGAGGAGUGAGGCCCUACAGGCACUUUACAACAUGCACCACCCCCCAUCUCCAGCCUUAAGCCUGGCUUUGUGCCUCUCUCUCUCUCUCAUUCUGUGGGUCUCUUAGUUGCUUUUUCUUAUCUUCCUCUUUCUCUGCCUCCAUACCACACCCCCCCCCCCCCUUCCAUCUCGAUCUCUCCUAUCUCAUUCCAGGGCAGUGGACAAUCCUAUGUGUGGUCUGGGGACAGGAGGGCUGGGGUCCUGUAGACUGGAAGAAAUUGAGGGUCGCAGGCUGGGAACACAGAGCCAAACAGCUCCUGGGAGAAAGUUUCCUGGAAUUCAAGAAGCCCCUUUCCACACCCCUGCCCACCCAGAGGCCUCCCGCAGACCCUCUGGUGGUCCCUAUCCUUAGGGACCACUCGGAGCAGCCCUCCAUUCAACACACCUGUGUCAAUAGGAAGCAUUGAGACAACCAGGCUCUAGGAGUUCCCCAUCCCAAUGAGGACACUGCCAUCUACCAGAUGCCCGAACACCCAAAGGCAACUUGGGCCCCUCUGCCUCCACUCCGCUGCCAUUCAAGCCCUCUGGAGUCUGGCUUCUAAAUAGCUCUGGAAUCCGUCCACACCUCUCCACCCUCACUGCCAUUCUCCUCACUCAGAUCACUAUCAACAAUGGAUAUGGCAGUACCUACGUCAUCAGGUUGUUGCAAGCAUUAAAUGAGUUAGUAAACAUGAAGCUGCUGGCAUAGAGUAAGCGUCAUGUGUGUCUUGGUGGGACUGUUAGCCAGUGUGUACCUCCUGCUUCAUCUAUCCUAAAACAUUAGCCUGACCGCCCUCCUCUGCUGCUUUAUACCCCUCAAUGGCUCCCAUUACUUUUAGAAUGAAAGUCCAAACAUCUGGCCUGAGCUUACAGCAUCUGCAGCCCAUCUCUCACAUUCCCAUCUUCCUUCCCACUUUUCACUCUGGCCCCAUGAAAUCUGCAGCUUCCUGAAUGUUCCUUAGUCUUUCAACCUUCUGCCUUUGUACCUGCUGUCCCUGGUGUUUGGACUCCCUUCCCCCAUUUGUUCACCGAACACCCACUCCGAGUCCAGCCUGACCACCCCACCCCACCCCACCC